CACUCCUGCGGGAGGCAGCAGUGGGGAAUAUUGGACAAUGGGCGCAAGCCUGAUCCAGCCAUGCCGCGUGAGUGAUGAAGGCCCUAGGGUUGUAAAGCUCUUUCACCGGUGAAGAUAAUGACGGUAACCGGAGAAGAAGCCCCGGCUAACUUCGUGCCAGCAGCCGCGGUAAUACGAAGGGGGCUAGCGUUGUUCGGAUUUACUGGGCGUAAAGCGCACGUAGGCGGACUAUUAAGUCAGGGGUGAAAUCCCGGGGCUCAACCCCGGAACUGCCUUUGAUACUGGUAGUCUUGAGUUCGAGAGAGGUGAGUGGAAUUCCGAGUGUAGAGGUGAAAUUCGUAGAUAUUCGGAGGAACACCAGUGGCGAAGGCGGCUCACUGGCUCGAUACUGACGCUGAGGUGCGAAAGCGUGGGGAGCAAACAGGAUUAGAUACCCUAGUAGUCCCAUGA
rnacentral:rRNA from 1 species